CCUACGGGAGGCAGCAGUGAGGAAUAUUGGUCAAUGGGCGGGAGCCUGAACCAGCCAAGCCGCGUGAGGGAAGAAGGUACAGCGUAUCGUAAACCUCUUUUGUCAGGGAACAAAGGCGGGUACUCGUCCGCGGCUGAGGGUACCCGAAGAAAAAGCCUCGGCUAACUCCGUGCCAGCAGCCGCGGUAAUACGGAGGAUGCGAGCGUUAUCCGGAUUUCUUGGGUUUAAAGGGUGCGCAGGCGGCCCUUUAAGUCAGCGGUAAAAGCGCGGGGCUCAACCCCGACGAGCCGUUGAAACUGGGGGGCUGGAGUUGGAGAGAGGUAGGCGGAAUGCGCGGUGUAGCGGUGAAAUGCUUAGAGAUCGCGCAGAACCCCGAUUGCGAAGGCAGCGUACCGGCUCCACACUGACGCUGAGGCACGAAAGCGUGGGUAUCGAACAGGAUUAGAUACCCGUGUAGUC
rnacentral:rRNA from 1 species